rnacentral:rRNA from 1 species
UACGUAGGGUGCAAGCGUUAAUCGGAAUUACUGGGCGUAAAGCGUGCGCAGGCGGUUAUGUAAGACAGUUGUGAAAUCCCCGGGCUCAACCUGGGAACUGCAUCUGUGACUGCAUAGCUAGAGUACGGUAGAGGGGGGAUGGAAUUCCGCGUGUAGCAGUGAAAUGCGUAGAUAUGCGGAGGAACACCGAUGGCGAAGGCAAUCCCCCUGGACCUGUACUGACGCUCAUGCACGAAAGCGUGGGGGAGCAAAACAGGAUUAGAAAACCCCCUGU